UCCAACGAGCUCCAGUGUUCUUUUUCUGAAGUUAUGAGUUGGGGAAUGCUUGAAAGUGCAUCCUCUUCAUAAAAUUGACUACAACUUCUCUAGCACUACACAUGCUGUACUGGCUGGCCGGUCAGGAAAAAUAGUGUUUACCGCUUCAACGAAGUUCUUAUAUCAACCUCGGUUGUAUGUACAAUGUACUGGUAGCUGCUUGCCAACAACAACAAAAACACUUUUCGAUAUUAGCUUUGGGUGCUUGACGCUGUUGAGAGUUGGCUAGCGCCUCCCAAGGAUGCCAGAGUUUGUCCUGCCGCGGCGGAGACCCCAGCACGGAUUGGCGAAGACGAAGGCUUAACGCGGCCGACGGAUAAGAAAAAGCGGCUGCCAAGCGUGCCGCGUAAAUGACAAGACGUACAAAUCAGGCGCCAGGAACAUGCCGUCAAUGGACCGAAGCCUCAGGAAAUUACGUGUCACCUCCAUGAACCUAGCCGAGAUGAGGAGAACCAAGCCGGACUAUUCUUCCUGGAGAAGAAGUGUUUUCUUCUUGGCUUGCUGAUGGCUGAACUCUCGUUGUUUCUGUAUGAGGAAGGAGAAAACAAGCCACAACAUUCUACCGGAGAAGAAAGAAGAAAAUGUUUCUGCAUGAGGAAGGAGAACUAAGCCGGACUAUUCUUCCUGGAGAAGAAGUGUUUUCUUCUUGGCUUGCUGAUGGCUGA